UACGGAGGGUGCGAGCGUUAAUCGGAAUUACUGGGCGUAAAGCGUGCGCAGGCGGCUUUGCAAGACAGAUGUGAAAUCCCCGGGCUCAACCUGGGAACUGCAUUUGUGACUGCAAGGCUAGAGUACGGCUGAGGGGGAUGGAAUUCCGCGUGUAGCAGUGAAAUGCGUAGAUAUGCGGAGGAACACCAAUGGCGAAGGCAAUCCCCUGGGCCUGUACUGACGCUCAUGCACGAAAGCGUGGGGAGCAAACAGG
rnacentral:rRNA from 1 species